rnacentral:rRNA from 1 species
CCUACGGGUGGCAGCAGUGAGGAAUAUUGGUCAAUGGACGCAAGUCUGAACCAGCCAAGCCGCGUGAAGGAAGACGGCUCUAUGGGUUGUAAACUUCUUUUGUAAGGGAGUAAACUCAGACACGCGUACCUGUCUGAAUGUACCGUACGAAUAAGGAUCGGCUAACUCCGUGCCAGCAGCCGCGGUAAUACGGAGGAUUCAAGCGUUAUCCGGAUUUAUUGGGUUUAAAGGGUGCGUAGGUGGGCGGAUAAGUCAGAUGUGAAAGUCCGCGGCUCAACCGUAGAAUUGCCACUGAUACUGGUAGGCUAGAGUGCAGUUGAGGUAGGCGGAAUGCAUGGUGUAGCGGUGAAAUGCUUAGAGAUCACGCAGAACACCGAUUGCGAAGGCAGCUUACCAAGCUACUUCUGACGUUGAGGCACGAAAGCGUGGGUAGCAAACAGGAUUAGAUACCCGAGUAGUC